AACAUCUCGGCCUCCUCUGUCACUCAGAGAACUUCAAACUGGAAAUGUAAAAAUAAAUAUAAAACAUGGUGCUUUUCUUUUCACGCCUAACCGGUAAAAUAAAUAACAAUUCAACGGGUUUAUCUGCUAGCCAUAUCUAACAAAUAUAUCAAAGUUGAAAAAAAUGUCAUUAGCAUUUAGUUGAUAAAAUAAUAAUCAUAUUAUAUUAUAGAAGAUCUUUUACCCUUCAUCUUAGUUAUUUGCUUUUUCAAUAUUAUUCAUUGCCACAUUUCUAAGGUUUUGCCACAUUUAGUCAGUUUCGGGCCUUUUGAUAAACCAACGCAAUACUUAAAAAAAGAGUAUCUGGUACCGUGGCAAGCUUGAUCCGUUGAAGUUUGUUACCUUGUUCUCCCUGUGUGUCGUCGUAAAGGGGCCAGCGAGUCGUCGCCGGGGGCCAGCGAGUCGUUGCCGGGGGCCUUGGAGGACAGCGGCCAGCUGUGUGAGCUGGAGGCCGUCCAGAAGGAGCUCGACGAGCUGCUGGUCAGCAGAGAGUUGGAGAAACACAGAUUGAAAUCAGGUCAACAAGCCCCCAGUCCCGCUCUGUAUAAAACCGAGACCCCCCGUGGGGGGGUCUACACCCUUCCGCCUCCCCAGCCGACUCCGGGGGAAGUUACACUGGAAGACAGGGGGAAGGUUCGGACUGUAGCAGACGUCGUUCCAGUGGGCCUUCUCAGUCAAACCGCAGCGGUCACCAAGUGUCCGUCCUGUGACGAGGUCGUCCUCACGGAAACCAGAAGCAAAGUCGGCGAGGGCAAGUGGCUCGUCUGCUUCCUGUGCGUCCUCUCAGGGUGUGUCGCAGGCUGCUGUUUAAUCCCUUUCUGCAUGAGCCGCCUGAGUACGAUCCAGCACCAGUGUCCCAAGUGCCACGCGGAGAUACACACCCACACGCCAUUUUGACAUGGAGGUCGCCACGUCAACAGGCCCCGGCGUGAUAGCGUGGAUCACGACGCCUGGCUGGCGUGAUUCAGCGACCGUCGAGUGUCUGGGAUGUUGACUCGGUGGUCGAGUCCCCCCCCCCCCCGGUGCAACCUGCACAAAGACUCUGAUGACUUAAGAUCUGGAGUGCAGGCUGCAACCAAACUGACAAACUCUCCCCACGAGCCGGACUUCUCAUUCAAUAGCUUUAUGGUUCAUGAAAACCCAACUGUAAACGUAAGAUGCUACAAAGUGAGGGAUUGAGGCCUUUUCCUGCUGAAAUUAGGACACGGCCUUCUGGCUUUUCUGUCAACAAUCUAAUGAGCUUUAUGAACGCUGUCCUUGGUAUUAGGGAAAUAUAUAUCCAGAAAUAUCCAUUAACCACGGGGAGGUAAAUGCAAAUUCUUUGCUGACUGUAUGCAAAUAGGAGCCAGUGUAAAUACACAGACAAAAGAGUUCUAAUGCUCUGCCUGCCUUCACGAGCCAAAAAUUGUUUAAAAAUACAGACACAAUCGCGUAAGAAAUGUGUGUUAUUCCGUCAUUAAUCGGAGAGGUGUUCACAGUACACCAGAUUUAUUGACACAGAAAGGCAUACAGCACUUAUAUACAUCUUUGAGUAUUUACAUUAAAGAGACCGCAUGGAUGUUACACAUGUAGAAAAAUAUGCAUUACAUCUAUAGAAAUAUGUACACAAUGUGCAAAACAUACGGCAUGCCGACAACGAGAGGCUUAGACAGGAGACACGCAGCGAGCGAUGGAAAAGUCGGACCGUCACCAAACGCCUCGUCUGCUCAACCAACAUGUUCAGUGUUUACGUGACGACGGCGGUUUUACUCCAACUACUUGGGUGGAGACGCCGAGAGGAAACCUCCACCAACGUCAGACUUUGGAGGCUUAUUGGAACGAACUACUCCGACGGGAAGUGCUUCUGAAGUUAUAAAGUGUGUUUCUCUGGAGUAAAAGGUUCCAACAGUAAUAACACGUGGAGGGCGGAGCCGACGUGACGCGCGGCUUAUCGAGGUCGGGUCACAUGCGGUGAAAGUCCCCGAGGUGACGGAGGUGACGGAGGAGGAGGGGGCGUUGGCCUCGAAUGGAGCAGCUAGUAUUGCUUUAGUUGGUCCCCGUCACACGGAGCACGAUUUACUGCAGCAAGACGUCUGAUACGGAACAAAGUGACGCAACUCUGCACAACCGAAAUGUACAAACAAAACCCACCUUAUUUUUACAGAUUUUACAGGAAUGAAAGCAAGAUUACACAUUCUUUUCAUUUUCCCCCGGCCAAAACAAAACAAAACGUGAGAAAAACAAAAGUAGAUAAAAUGUUCCACAGUCUUUUUGGUGACAGAUUUCCUGAUUUGUCAGCGUUAAAGUUGACUGGUGGAAAAUAAAGUGUACACAUGAAUCCUCCGGGUCCUCGACCACAAGACGCGCCGGUCAUCUGAUACGAGAAAGAACCGUAAAACAACAAAGCCAAGUCCAAUGUUUGUGGGUCUGAGCUCAUCGAUGUGGUCGGAUUGUAAGAGCGUGCUGGAGACCAGCAGCGCCCUCUAGUGCACAUGGACGUAAUGACACAUUAACGUCCAUGUGCACCAUUAACACAUAAAAAAUAAAAGAAAUAUAAAAUCUCAUUUCAAAGUGCUAUACAGUGAGACGGCAUCAAAGCCAAAUGAAUAUCCUUCACCGAGACGCCGGAUCAGUAACUCAAUAUUCAUGAUUGAUAUGAAGCAAUGUGUUAAAAAUGAUCAUCCAGAAUUGAUAAGAGCUUUAAAAAGAAGCGAAGCCCUCUUCAAUGUGUCGCUGCUGGAAGGCGGCGGUGCGUUUUGGACACAGAUGGAAGCAGGAAACAGUCAUCAGAAGCCUUGAGAAGAGUUUGGAAUAGAAUAGAAUCCACAGAAUGAUUGAAUUUCAUAGCGAUUAUGCAACUUCUUCAGACAAGAUGUGGACAACGGACGAGGAGCUUGAGACGUUUCACAAGGAUACGAUCGUGCACACGGAGUCACAGGUGUACAUGCAAAAAACAGGGAGACAAAAUACACACACACACACACACACACACACACAGUGAUUUGCCAUUAUCAGAACGGGAACUGAACGUUUUCCUCCUUUAAAGUUUUGGACAGCUUUAAUUAUCUGUCGUCGCGUCUUUUAAAAAAAAAAAAAGGAGUAAAAGAUUUUUUAUUGUCGGGGUGUAUAGAUGUUGUUGGUGUUGUGAGAUUACUGCUCCAAUAACCCAAUUAAUUAGAUUGCUUUAGAUCCCAGUGAAAAUGGCAACAUGACAUGUUGUUGGAAACAAACAUUUUGGAAACAAUUACGUCAAUAACUCUUGAAUAAGUGUUUCAUGUUCUUUGUAAGAUGCCACUGGAAUAGAAUUCUACUCAUCAGCAGCAGUAAUAAUGUUUGUCACCUUUGUCUGCAGCUGUGCAGAAACACCAGACAUUCGGAAGGGAAUAAAAUGUGCAGCGUUAAAA